CUCAUUUUGAACUUGUCUGUGCACAGCAUCAAGUGUGCUCCUGGAAGAGAGGCAACAGCGAGGAAAUCCUAAAAGACCGAGUCCUAGUCUCAGAAGAAAUCGCCUGCAAGGUUGAGAGACAGAAAGAAAAUCCCUGGAGACUCCACGUCUAACCCAGGCUAAAGGCAAAGCUCUACAGCGGUGUGUAGGAUAUCUCUCUCGUUCGCUACAGCCCUUGCCACCGAAGUACCAGACGCUUUUAGUGUGUGAAAGACCAGGCGUUGAUUUAAUGUAUCUGGAAGGGAGAGGGGAUAGAGGAUGCAACUUAAUAAAUAUUCCUCUAGUCUCGCUCAUGAAAACAUCCAAAACAUCUUUCGGCGUUUGCAUUUAAUGACUGCAACGUGAACGAUGGAGGCGAGAAGCAGUCGAGGGAAUGGCUCGUUUCUCUUAGUGUUGGCUCGGAAUUGUCAAACAGUUACUUUCUGUUCAUUGUAGGGAAAUAGGUCACACUUUGAGUGAAAAGGACAGUUGGUUCAAGCCAAUAACCCUUUGUUCAAGUGCUGUUUGACAGUCCCUGAGCAGAACAUCGUUGCGUGAAGUUUCAUCUCCUGUCCAGUACCUUUAGAUACAUUAUUAAAUCCCAAAGUCAUAUUCCACGGAGCGCCUGGAAGGAAUAUUUCGUCGAAACGCGUCUUGCCAACCAACGUGUUAGCACCCGUAAGGAAGCCUGCUGGACUGGCCCGAGAACCCGGCCGCCAGGAUGGACACGAAUCCCUCAUUAGCAGUUCCAACUUGAAAAGUCAACUGGGCUGGUCCAACACCACCAUCCAGGAGAUUCCCAAAGGCUCAAAAGUGGGUGUCUAUGCAUAAAGAAGACAGCAACAUGAAGCUGAGAUUGAUUCCCAUUGGUACUGAAUCAGAACUCAUAGAAACAAGUAAAUCUCCUUGGAAAUUAUCACCUAUCAGGUCACCAUCACACCAAGGCACUCGAAGAGACAUUGACGGCGAAAAGGAAUUGAACUCAAUGGGAAAGCACGGCACCAUGAAGGAGCCACCAUGCAAGGGCAGCAAGUGAAUCCAGGGGAGGUCUGUCUCCAAGAAGACGAGCAAGGAAGGCCGAAAUGCUCAUUUGUAAAGGAAGUAUUUGAAAUGUCACCCUCCCCCUUUUUUUCUAAACUGUUUUCUUGGGAAGCCUUCUUAUAGAAACUUAAGAAAAGAUGACUGGGAAUUUAUAUUGUUGAUAUGGGCACACCACGUCAAGGACCCCAAUGCCUCAGACCUCUGCAAAUGAUAAAGCUUCCAUGGGUCAGGUUUGGAGAAAUGGCAAAGCCUUCCACUCUCCCGAGUACCAGUAUUGACAACUGAUUGCUCUUUAGUUAAUGCCAGUGUAGAGUUAGCACCCACCAGAACCAUGGCUUCCUCCUGCUGCAUAUUUACAACUUAAGACUGUUCCCCUAUGAAGACUUCCCACUCAGACAAGCUAACCCCUCAGUGGUGGUUUGAAUGAGAAUGACCCCUGUACAAUCAUACAGUUGAAUGCCCCCCCCCCCCACCCAGUUGGCGAAUCUGUUUGGGAAGGAUUAGGAGGUGUAGACUUGGAGGAGGUGUGUUACUGGAGGUGGUCUUUGAGGUUUAAGAAGCCCCCACCAUUUCCAAGUAGAAUCUCUCUCUGCCUAGUGCUUGUGAAUCAGAUAUAAACUCUCAACUGCUUCUACAGUGCCUACCUGCCUGUUUUCAUGUUUCCUGCCCUGAUAGUCAUGGACUCACCCUCUGAAACUGUAAGCAAAUUCUCAAUAAAAUACCUUCUUCUAU
rnacentral:lncRNA from 1 species